AUUGAACGCUGGCGGCAGGCCUAACACAUGCAAGUCGAGCGAGCGGCGGACGGGUGAGUAAUGUAUGGGAAUCUGCCUGAUGGAGGGGGAUAACUACUGGAAACGGUGGCUAAUACCGCAUACUAUCGGAUGUGCCCAUAUGGGAGUAGCUAGUAGGUGGGGUAAAGGCUCACCUAGGCGACGAUCCCUAGCUGGUCUGAGAGGAUGACCAGCCACACUGGAACUGAGACACGGCCCAGACUCCUACGGGAGGCAGCAGUGGGGAAUAUUGCACAAUGGGCGCAAGCCUGAUACAGCCAUGCCGCGUGUAUGAAGAAGGCCUUCGGGUUGUAAAGUACUUUCAGCGAGGAGGCGUUACUCGCAGAAGAAGCACCGGCUAACUCCGUGCCAGCAGCCGCGGUAAUAC
rnacentral:rRNA from 1 species